UAAAUGUCCACUUGGGGACACUGAACU
rnacentral:piRNA from 1 species